rnacentral:rRNA from 1 species
GACGAACCGAGCGAACGUUAUUCGGAAUCACUGGGCUUAAAGGGUGCGUAGGCGGGCGAUCAAGUCAGGGGUGAAAGCCUCCAGCUCAACUGGAGAAGUGCCUUUGAUACUGGUUGUCUCGAGGGAGGUAGGGGCGUGCGGAACUUCCGGUGGAGCGGUGAAAUGCGUAGAUAUCGGAAGGAACACCAGUGGCGAAAGCGGCGCGCUGGACCUCUUCUGACGCUGAGGCACGAAAGCCAGGGGAGCAAACGGG